UUUUUUUUUCUUUUUCUUUUUUUUUUUUUUUGAGACAGGGUUUUGGCUCUGUCACUCAGGCUGGAGUGCAGUGGUACCAUCAUGACUCAUUGCAGCCUCAAUGUCCCAGCCUCAAGCAGUCUUUCCACCUAACCCUCUCGAGUAGCUGGGACUACAGGCAUGCACCACCACACCUGGCUAGUUUUAUUUUUAAUUUUUGUUUUUUUAAGUAGAGAUGGGGGUCUCACUAUGUUGCUCAGGCUGGUCUCCAACUCCUGGGCUCAAGUGAUCUUCCCACCUCAGCCUCCCAAAAUGCUGGGAUUACAGGCGUGAACUGCCAUGCCCAGCAGAAAAAUUGUCAUUGGAAUAAAGUCUGGGGUUUUGUUAAAAGUUUUAUAUCGGCCGGGUGUGGUGGCCCAUGCCUGUAAUCCUAGCACUUUGAGAAGCUGAGGGGGGAGAUUCCCUGAGCUCAGGGAUUCAAGACCAGCCUGGACAAUGCAGCAAAACCCUGUCUCUACUAAAAUACAAAAAAUUAGCUGGGCGUGGUGGCGUGCACCUGUAGUCCUGGCUACUUGGGAGGCUGAGGCAGGACAAUUUCUUGAACCCAGGAGGCAGAGGUUGCAGUGAGCCGAGAUCACGCCACUGCACUCCAGCCUGGGCGACAGGGCGAGACCUGGAGUGCAGGCACAAUUAUGGCUCCCUGCAGCCUUGACCUCCCCAAGUUCAGGUGAUCCUCCCACCUCAGUUUUUCUAUUUUUAGUAGAGGCCUCCACCUCCCGGGUUCAAGCUGAGGCAGGAGAAUCACUUGAGCCCCAGAGGCAAAGGUUUCAGUAAGCCGAGAUCGUGCCACUGCACUCUAGCUUGGGCUACAGAGUGAGACUCCAUCUCACACACACAAAAGAAAUGAAAACAACAAUUUGUACAUGAGUUCAAAACAGAAUUAUUUAUUUAUUUCCCAAACUAGAAACAAUCCAAAUGUCUAUCAACAGAUAAAUGGAUAAGCAAAUGAUGACACAAUUGCAUUAAUGGAAUACCACUCAGCAAUGAAAAGGAACAAACCACUCAUACCUGCAACAACACAGAUGAGCCUCAGAAACGUGAUGCUAAGUGAAAGAAGCCAGACCAAAAAAAUUACAUGCUAUUAUUCCAUUUCAAUGAAAUUUCUGGAAAAGGCAAAAACCAUGCAAAGUAGAUCAGAGGUUGGCUGGGGGUGAGAGCAGAGACUGACUACAAAUAGGCCCAAAGGAACGUUUUGGGUGAUGGAAGUUUUCUAUAAGUGGAUUAUGGUGAUGGCUACACAACAGUAUAAAUUAAAGGUCAUCCAAAUGUGUACUUACAAUGUUUGAAUUGUAUGACAUGUAAAUUAUCUCAUUAAAUCUGUAUUUUAAAAAAAGAA
rnacentral:lncRNA from 1 species